rnacentral:rRNA from 1 species
GGUAACCGUAAGGAGCCAGCUGACGAAGGUGACAUCAAUGACUGGGGUGAAGUCGUAACAAGGUAACCAAUCACUAUUGAAUUCGGAGUCCACGCCGUAAACGAUGAGUGCUAAUUGUUAGGGGGUUUCCGCCCCUUAGUGCUGCAGCUAACGCAUUAAUCACUCCGCCUGGGGAGUACGACCGCAAGGUUGAAACUCAAAGGAAUUGACGGGGGCCCGCACAAGCGGUGGAGCAUGUGGUUUAAUUCAAAGCAACGCGAACAACCUUACCAGGUCUUGACAUCCCAAUGACCGUCUUAUAGAUAAGAUUUUCCCUUCGGGGACAUUGGGUGACAGGUGGUGCAUGGUUGUCGUCAGCUCGUGUCGUGAGAUGUUGGGUUAAGUCCCGCAACGAGCGCAAUCCUUAUUCUUAUUUGCCAUCAUUUAGUUGGGCACUCUAACGAGACUGCCGGUGACAAACCGAGAGGAAGGUGGGGAUGACAUCAAAUCAUCAUGCCCCUUAUGACCUGGGCUACACACGUGCUACAAUGGUGUGAGAACAAAGGGUCGCCAAACCGUAUGGUGGUGCCAAUCCCAGAAAAUCAUCCUUAGUUCGGAUUGCAGUCUGCAACCCGA